UUAAGAAGAGCGUCAACGAAUCAUUCCAACUCCAGGCGGUUGAGAUCGCUGCUUCCCGCGAAGAGACGACAAAGCUCCAAGCAUCUCUCCAAGAACUCCUUUUACAGGUCAAAGGCAAACAACCGGUGGCUGAUGCAGAGUGUAGUAAAAACCUUGAUCAGAAGGUGGAGUUUGAACGUGGUCAGAGUAAACAUCGUGGAGUUUUUAGGCAGAUCCGAGGACGGACUGUCUUCCGG
rnacentral:lncRNA from 1 species